GGGAAGGUGGCUCAGUGGUAGAGCGCUGGCCUCGCAUGCCUGAGGCCCUGUUCA
rnacentral:tRNA from 1 species